rnacentral:lncRNA from 10 species
UGCACAAACUGAAUGUGGAUCGGCCAACACUGACGUCAAUGCAUACUUUGUUGCCCACCAGCACGAAAAGCACUAUUUACAAUAGCAAAGACUUGGAACCAACCCAAAUGCCUGUCAAUGAUAGACUGGAUACAGCAAACGUGGCACAUAUACACAAUGGAAUACUACGCAGACAUAAAAAAAGAAUGAGUUCAUGUCCUUUGCAGGGACAUGGAUGAAGCUGGAAACCAUCAUCCUCAGCAAACUAAAGGAAUAGAAAACCAAACACCACAUGUUCUCACUCAUAAGUGGGAGUUGAACAAUGAGAAUACAUGGACACAGGGAGGGGAACAUCACACAUGGGGGCCUCUUUGGGGGUGAGGGGAGGCGGGGAGGGAGAGCCUUAGGACAAAUACCUAAUCCAUGCAGGGCUUAAAACCUAGAUGACGAGUUGAUAGGUGCAACAAACCACCAUGGCACAUGUAUACCUACGUAACAAAGCUGCACAUUCAGCACAUGUAUCCCAGAACUUAAAGUAAAAAAAUAAUAA